CCUACGGGUGGCAGCAGUGGGGAAUAUUGGGCAAUGGGCGCAAGCCUGACCCAGCAACGCCGCGUGAAGGAAGAAGGCUUUCGGGUUGUAAACUUCUUUUGUCAGGGACGAAGCAAGUGACGGUACCUGACGAAUAAGCCACGGCUAACUACGUGCCAGCCGCCGCGGUAAUACGUAGGUGACAAGCGUUAUCCGGAUUUACUGGGUGUAAAGGGCGUGUAGGCGGGACUGCAAGUCAGAUGGGAAAACCACGGGCUCAACCUGUGGUCUGCAUUUGAAACUGUAGUUCUUGAGUACUGGAGAGGCAGACGGAAUUCCUAGGGUAGCGGGGAAAUGCGUAGAUAUUAGGAGGAAAACCAGUGGCGAAGGCGGUCUGCUGGACAGCAACUGACGGUGAGGCGCGAAAGCGUGGGGAGCAAACAGGAUUAGAUACCCGAGUAGUC
rnacentral:rRNA from 1 species